rnacentral:rRNA from 1 species
CUACCAAAAGCGAAAGCAGUUGGCUAGGCUAUACUCUUUGUCUCACACUCUGUAUCACACACACAUCACACACAGAGAGUGACACUUUACAAUGAAGAACGAAGGUUGGGGGAUCAAAGAGGAUCAGAUACCCUCGUCGUCCCAUUAAUUACAUCAAACGAUGGGCUCUCAAUUGCAUUUCUUUUAUAAGAUUGCAAACACUCCUCAACCUACAAAAUGACUUGGCUUGAGCUCGUAUCUCUGAUACGCUCGCUAGACUAUUUUCGUACGGUCUCGAUGGACGUUUCAUUUUAUUCUAUUUUUUGCGUGUAAGCAUUGUAAAUUAUUCUUUGAACAUAAGAAUUUUACUGCGUGCACUUGAUUUUCGGAGCUUUGCGCUCAAUUCUGGUGAGAUGUAAGCACUAUGUUAACUGUUACCCGCAGUGUAUAACUAUCGGUUAUUUCACUUGUCGUGUUUGUAACAAUAACAAUUUCGGUGUGAAGCACGCUUUAGGCACGCGCUUACUGCAGAAAU